rnacentral:rRNA from 1 species
GACGAACGCUGGCGGCGUGCUUAACACAUGCAAGUCGUACGGUAAGGCCCUUUCGGGGGUACACGAGUGGCGAACGGGUGAGUAACACGUGAGUAACCUGCCCACAACUUUGGGAUAACGCUAGGAAACUGGUGCUAAUACUGGAUAUGUGCUCCUGCUGCAUGGUGGGGGUUGGAAAGCUCCGGCGGUUGUGGAUGGACUCGCGGCCUAUCAGCUUGUUGGUGGGGUAGUGGCCUACCAAGGCGGCGACGGGUAGCCGGCCUGGGAGGGUGACCGGCCACAUUGGGACUGAGCUACGGCCCAGACUCCUACGGGAGGCAGCAGUGGGGAAUAUUGCACAAUGGGCGCAAGCCUGCUGCAGCAACGCCGCGUGCGGGAUGACGGCCUUCGGGUUGUAAACCGCUUUCAGCAGGGACGAAGCUUUUUGUGACGGUACCUGCAGAAGAAGCACCGGCUAACUACGUG